rnacentral:lncRNA from 1 species
UUAUUUUCUCUCCUCAACAUACAUUCAGAUUCUAUAAAAAAUAAUAAAAUUCUUUUCUAAUUUGCUUUUUAUAUUUUUUUCUUGUCUCGGCAGAAACCAAAAUAGAGAUGAGUUGAAAAACAGAUUACACUGACCGUCCCUAGCGCAAGUGGCAAAAGGGCUUAGUGGUUGAUAUCCGAGACCUAAGUUCGAAUCCUAGUUGAUUCACAUUUCCGGCUAAGUUUAUUUUUAAAUGAAAUAAACGAAGCGGAUAGCAUGUUACC